GUUUCUCAGACUGCGACAUUUUAAAAAUGGCGACAAAUGUGUUUUGCAAUGUGUGCUUAAGAGGUUAGAUUGGAUUCUGUGAGUACCCGGUUUAUGCAGUUCGAGUCUUGUUUUGAAAUUUUUUCGUGAAAAAAAGUACACGAUGGCACAGAGCAGAUUGGAGAAAAUCGGCACGAUAUAUACCAGAAUUACCUCGUUAUUAAAAGGCAAAGCUAUAAAAGAGGAAGACACGCCGUUGUGGGUAGCGUUAUACGAGGCUUUUCCCCCAAAGUACGAGCCCAGGUAUGACAGACGGCUACCAAAGAAACCUGUCAGAUCCAUUUUUUAUGAAGAGGACCUUGUUCGAGCAAGGUUCCAUAAAAAUCAGAGCUUCAUACCAGCUACCAAUUUGGCAAACGAAAAUGUAAAAUCUGCAACACAAAACUUUUUAUCUAUGUACAAAACAAUAAAACAGAAUUAUUUUAAUAGGAGAAAGGUUUAUCAGAUGAUAGUGCAUAUGAGCAGGCAACAAAACAAUACGUUUCUGAAAUAGAAGCAAGAACAGAGUCCAGGAAAGAGAAUGAAUCAUCUACAAGUGAUCUCAUCUCUCGAAUCAUCUCUAAGUGAUUAGGAAAAUAUAUUCUUGCCAUAUCAUACCGUUUUAUACAGCAUGCUAUCGUUAAUGGAAGUGGAUAAGAAAAUUUAGUCUAUAUAAAUUAAUGAAUACGAUUAACGAAGAGAUACAGUUGUUUACGAUCAUAAAUAUACGAACAGACGGAUUUCUC